UUCCGCAAUGGGCGCAAGCCUGACGGAGCAAUACCGCGUGAGGGAAGAAGGUCUGUGGAUUGUAAACCUCUUUUKAUAGGGAAGAAGACAGUGACGGUACCUAUCGAAUCAGCCUCGGCUAACUCCGUGCCAGCAGCCGCGGUAAUACGGAGGAGGCAAGCGUUAUCCGGAAUUAUUGGGCGUAAAGAGUCCGUAGGUGGGUCACCCAGUCAGCUGUUAAAUAGUGAAGCUUAACUUCAUAGAGGCGGCUGAAACUGGUGGUCUAGAGAGUGGUAGGGGUAGAGGGAAUUUCCAGUGUAGCGGUGAAAUGCGUAGAUAUUGGAAAGAACACCGGUGGCGAAAGCGCUCUACUGGGCCAUAACUGACAC
rnacentral:rRNA from 1 species